GGCCUGGUAGCAGGUGGUCCGCACUUGCAUCCAAUUGCCAUGAGCGAUAUGUUAGAUGUGCAAGAGCUGCUCGUUCGACUCGAGCCUGGGCCC